CCUCUGCUGCUUCCUGAUGACAGGGUGCCUCGGAGGAUGGAUGAGAUGGCACCAGGGUGUGUGGGGGAGUUGGGGGGGUAGAAUCCACUCUGAGGAUGUGAAGAUGUAAGGGAUCUCACCCAGAAUUCUCAGCAGUGUCCUGGACUGUGAAAUCCUUCUCGCCAGCAACAGUGGCCCACUGGAGGAUUUAGGGAGGCUGAGAUGGGCGGUGUGGCGUCUGCCACUCUUGGUAAGGGAAGACCAGCCCCUUGAGGGGGUGCUGACCUCGCCCUGACGUUUUAGGAGGAAGGAGUUCUGAGGAGCUCCACUUCGUGUGCAUUUAUAUAUUUGUCUCUGCCUGGGUGUGUCCGAGUGAGUGACUGUCAACUUGACACAGCCUAGAAUCACGUGAAGAAAACAAGUCUCAACUGAGUAAUAAUUGACUUUAUCAGGAUACAGAAAUGAAGGGACAAGACUGCCGACUCUGAGGAGCUCAGUGUCUACGAGGAGGAAAGGUUUCAGUCUCAGCCUGGUGCUGGUCUCCUAAAGACCGGAGCUCCACUAUCCUACCUCAGUCAGGUACCGUUUUUUGGGUUAAUCCACACUGAAAGAGCUUUGGGAUAAAAUAAAAAGGCAAUUUAGAUGUUACUAGCUUAGCAUGAAGGAUGUAAGCUGUAGUAGUCAUAAUUAAAAAUUUAUCUAUUUGCUGUGUAAGGUGGAACAGGGGACUUUGUGCCACCAUAUGCGUGUGGGGGUCAGAAGACAAUUUGUGGGAAUCAGUUCUUUCCUCCACCACACGAGUACCGAAGACCAACCUCAGGCUUAGGGCUUGGCAACAAGGGCCUUUCCCCUCUGCGGAGCCCUCUCAUUAGCCCUCUUACUCAUAAUGUUUUAUCUCAGUGCUGUGUUGAAACGAUGAUGCUUCGUGGCUCUCGGGUUAAAUAAAGUAGAUGAUUAAAAUUAAUUUCAUCUGUAUCAAAUGACCACAAACCCAGUGACUUUAAACAACCAGAAUACGUUGUCUCGCAGUCAUGAGCCCCAAAUCUGGCUAGGAUGCGUUGCUUUUGGAGGAUAGAGGGGAGGACCCACUUCCUGCCUCUUGCAGCUUUUGGGAGCUGCCCGGAGUCCUUGAAUUUGUGGCUGCAUCCCUCCCGUCUCCUCCUGUGCCGGUCUCAAUCCCCUCUGUCCAUCUGGUACGAGGCCACUUGAGAAGGCAGCUAUGGGAUCAUAGAUAAUCAGGGUGACCCUCCUCACCCUGACAUCCUUAAUUGCAUCUGCAAAGGUCCGUACCCGUCUCCCACAAUUUAAUUACCGUUUAAAGGUGCUAGAGGGUAGGGCCUGAUAUAUUUGAUAUCUUUGGAUGCUUGUUAUCCAACCUCCUCUAUGUGUGCCUUGCAUUAUAUUUCUACAGAGCAAUUACGCCCAUAGUAACCCAAAAAGCCCAGGGAAAGUGUCAUAGAUUCAAAAAGGGCCGAGGGUUUGUUUUGUUUCUUUUUGUUGCCAUUGUUUUUCAGGACUGGGUUUCUCCACGUAGCCCCGGCUGUCCCGAAACUCACUCUGUAGACCAGGCUGGCCUUGGACUCACAAAGAUCCACCAGCCUCUGCCUCCCAAGUGCUGGGAUUUAAGGCAUGCACCAUCACUGCCUGGUCUCAAAUAGGGCAGAUGGAAUUGGAAGGGUAUUCCCAAGAAUCCCUUGGAAUCAUGGCGGUAGCAGGAACACAGACUUGGGGGUAAGGAGUUGGUACAGGAGGCAUCUUCCUUCCGAUGGUCAGCAUGGUGUGGACACUGGAACUUUGCACAGCUGCCUUCUGGUAUCCAGUCUCCAGGAGGUGCACAGCCCAUCCCAGAGAAGCCAAAUUCCAGCCACUCCUCUGCAAACUGCUGGCCCUUGGGAGCAGGGUGUGGUUUGCCUUUGGUUUCCUGCCUGAUUGGAGAGGAAUGCCGCCAGGACGUGCGUGAGACGCCUCAACUGAGGAAACCACUGGAAUCUCAUUUGUAGGGGAAUUUGGCCCCAGAGCCCCCUCCCCACCCCUUCCCCACUCCCUAGUGGGAGAGCGCCAAGACUUCAGUCACUGCCACCAACUCCAGCAAACCCCAAACCACAGGAAUGCAACCCGGUCACCUGGGGACAACAGAAUAAAGUGCUGGACA